rfam:Stegodyphus mimosarum contig7852, whole genome shotgun sequence.
AUCUUUGUGGUGUAACGGUAGCACACUCGGCGCUUAUUCGAGAGGCCCAGGUUUGAGUCCCGGCGAGGGCA